rnacentral:rRNA from 1 species
CCGUCAAUUCCUUUGAGUUUCAACCUUGCGGCCGUACUCCCCAGGCGGAGAACUUAUCGCGUUAGCUACGACACCGAUUUGCUAAGCAAACCAACGUCAAGUUCUCAUCGUUUACGGCGUGGACUACCAGGGUAUCUAAUCCUGUUUGCUACCCACGCUUUCGUGCCUCAGCGUCAAAACAGGCCCAGGAGGCUGCCUUCGCCAUCGGUGUUCUUCCAGAUAUCUACGCAUUUCACCGCUACACCUGGAGUUCCACCUCCCUCUACCGUUUUCUAGUCUGACAGUAUCGACCGCAAUUCCUAGGUUGAGCCCAGGGCUUUCACAAUCGACUUAUCAAACCGCCUACGCACGCUUUACGCCCAGUAAAUCCGAUUAACGCUAGCACCCUCUGUAUUACCGCGGCUGCUGGCACAGAGUUAGCCGGUGCUUAUUCUGUCGGUACCGUCAAGACUUCACGUAUUAAGUAAAGUUUUUUCUUCCCAACUUAAAGUGCUUUACAACCCGAAGGCCUUCUUCACACACGCGGUAUUGCUGGAUCAGGCUUUCGCCCAUUGUCCAAUAUUCCCCACUGCUGCCUCCCGUAGGAGUCCGGACCGUGUCUCAGUUCCGGUGUGACUGAUCAUCCUCUCAGACCAGUUACGGAUCGUAGCCUUGGUGAGCCAUUACCUCACCAACUAGCUAAUCCGACGUAGGUUCCUCCAAAAGCGAGAGGCCUUGCGGUCCCCCUCCUUGCUCUUGCGAGAUCAUGCGGUAUUAAUCCGGGUUUCCCCGGGUUAUCCCCCACUUAAGGGCAGAUCCCUACGUAUUCCUCACCCGUCCGCCACUAGGUAUUGCUACCUCGUUCGACUUGCAUGUGUUAGGCCUG